AUAAGUGCAUCAGGCGGAUGCCUUGGCGAUGAUAGGCGACGAAGGACGUGUAAGCCUGCGAAAAGCGCGGGGGAGCUGGCAAUAAAGCUAUGAUUCCGCGAUGUCCGAAUGGGGAAACCCACUGCAUUCUGUGCAGUAUCCUAAGUUGAAUACAUAGGCUUAGAGAAGCGAACCCGGAGAACUGAACCAUCUAAGUACCCGGAGGAAAAGAAAUCAACCGAGAUUCCGCAAGUAGUGGCGAGCGAACGCGGAGGAGCCUGUACGUAAUAACUGUCGAGAUAGAAGAACAAGCUGGGAAGCUUGACCAUAGCGGGUGACAGUCCCGUAUUCGAAAUCUCAACAGCGGUACUAAGCGUACGAAAAGUAGGGCGGGACACGUGAAAUCCUGUCUGAAUAUGGGGGGACCAUCCUCCAAGGCUAAAUACUCAUCAUCGACCGAUAGUGAACCAGUACCGUGAGGGAAAGGCGAAAAGAACCCCGGGAGGGGAGUGAAACAGAACCUGAAACCUGAUGCAUACAAACAGUGGGAGCGCCCUAGUGGUGUGACUGCGUACCUUUUGUAUAAUGGGUCAACGACUUACAUUCAGUAGCGAGCUUAACCGGAUAGGGGAGGCGUAGGGAAACCGAGUCUUAAUAGGGCGAUGAGUUGCUGGGUGUAGACCCGAAACCGAGUGAUCUAUCCAUGGCCAGGUUGAAGGUGCCGUAACAGGUACUGGAGGACCGAACCCACGCAUGUUGCAAAAUGCGGGGAUGAGCUGUGGGUAGGGGUGAAAGGCUAAACAAACUCGGAGAUAGCUGGUUCUCCCCGAAAACUAUUUAGGUAGUGCCUCGAGCAAGACACUGAUGGGGGUAAAGCACUGUUAUGGCUAGGGGGUUAUUGCAACUUACCAACCCAUGGCAAACUCAGAAUACCAUCAAGUGGUUCCUCGGGAGACAGACAGCGGGUGCUAACGUCCGUUGUCAAGAGGGAAACAACCCAGACCGCCGGCUAAGGUCCCAAAUGAUAGAUUAAGUGGUAAACGAAGUGGGAAGGCACAGACAGCCAGGAUGUUGGCUUAGAAGCAGCCAUCAUUUAAAGAAAGCGUAAUAGCUCACUGGUCGAGUCGUCCUGCGCGGAAGAUGUAACGGGGCUCAAAUCUAUAACCGAAGCUGCGGAUGCCGGUUUACCGGCAUGGUAGGGGAGCGUUCUGUAGGCUGAUGAAGGUGCAUUGUAAAGUGUGCUGGAGGUAUCAGAAGUGCGAAUGUUGACAUGAGUAGCGAUAAAGCGGGUGAAAAGCCCGCUCGCCGAAAGCCCAAGGUUUCCUACGCAACGUUCAUCGGCGUAGGGUGAGUCGGCCCCUAAGGCGAGGCAGAAAUGCGUAGUCGAUGGGAAACAGGUUAAUAUUCCUGUACUUGAUUCAAAUGCGAUGUGGGGACGGAGAAGGUUAGGUUGGCAAGCUGUUGGAAUAGCUUGUUUAAGCCGGUAGGUGGAAGACUUAGGCAAAUCCGGGUUUUCUUAACACCGAGAAGUGAUGACGAGUGUCUACGGACACGAAGCAACCGAUACCACGCUUCCAGGAAAAGCCACUAAGCUUCAGUUUGAAUCGAACCGUACCGCAAACCGACACAGGUGGGCAGGAUGAGAAUUCUAAGGCGCUUGAGAGAACUCGGGAGAAGGAACUCGGCAAAUUGAUACCGUAACUUCGGGAGAAGGUAUGCCCUCUAAGGUUAAGGACUUGCUCCGUAAGCCCCGGAGGGUCGCAGAGAAUAGGUGGCUGCGACUGUUUAUUAAAAACACAGCACUCUGCCAACACGAAAGUGGACGUAUAGGGUGUGACGCCUGCCCGGUGCCGGAAGGUUAAUUGAAGAUGUGCAAGCAUCGGAUCGAAGCCCCGGUAAACGGCGGCCGUAACUAUAACGGUCCUAAGGUAGCGAAAUUCCUUGUCGGGUAAGUUCCGACCCGCACGAAUGGCGUAACGAUGGCCACACUGUCUCCUCCCGAGACUCAGCGAAGUUGAAGUGGUUGUGAAGAUGCAAUCUACCCGCUGCUAGACGGAAAGACCCCGUGAACCUUUACUGUAGCUUUGCAUUGGACUUUGAAGUCACUUGUGUAGGAUAGGUGGGAGGCUUGGAAGCAGAGACGCCAGUCUCUGUGGAGUCGUCCUUGAAAUACCACCCUGGUGUCUUUGAGGUUCUAACCCAGACCCGUCAUCCGGGUCGGGGACCGUGCAUGGUAGGCAGUUUGACUGGGGCGGUCUCCUCCCAAAGCGUAACGGAGGAGUUCGAAGGUUACCUAGGUCCGGUCGGAAAUCGGACUGAUAGUGCAAUGGCAAAAGGUAGCUUAACUGCGAGACCGACAAGUCGGGCAGGUGCGAAAGCAGGACAUAGUGAUCCGGUGGUUCUGUAUGGAAGGGCCAUCGCUCAACGGAUAAAAGGUACUCCGGGGAUAACAGGCUGAUUCCGCCCAAGAGUUCAUAUCGACGGCGGAGUUUGGCACCUCGAUGUCGGCUCAUCACAUCCUGGGGCUGUAGUCGGUCCCAAGGGUAUGGCUGUUCGCCAUUUAAAGUGGUACGUGAGCUGGGUUUAAAACGUCGUGAGACAGUUUGGUCUCUAUCUGCAGUGGGCGUUGGAAGUUUGACGGGGGCUGCUCCUAGUACGAGAGGACCGGAGUGGACGAACCUCUGGUGUACCGGUUGUAACGCCAGUUGCAUAGCCGGGUAGCUAAGUUCGGAAGAGAUAAGCGCUGAAAGCAUCUAAGCGCGAAACUCGCCUGAAGAUGAGACUUCCCUUGCGGUUUAACCGCACUAAAGGGUCGUUCGAGACCAGGACGUUGAUAGGUGGGGUGUGGAAGCGCGGUAACGCGUGAAGCUAACCCAUACUAAUUGCCCGUGAGGCUUGACU
rnacentral:rRNA from 1 species